rnacentral:rRNA from 1 species
AUUGAACGCUGGCGGCAGGCCUAACACAUGCAAGUCGAGCGCGCGGCGGACGGGUGAGUAAUGUCUGGGGACUGCCCGAUAGAGGGGGAUAACUCCUGGAAACGGUGGCUAAUACCGCAUACUAUCGGAUAACCCAUAUGGGAUUAGCUAGUAGGUGGGGUAAAGGCUCACCUAGGCGACGAUCUCUAGCUGGUCUGAGAGGAUGAUGAGCCACACUGGGACUGGGAGAAGGCCCAGAAGCCUACGGAGGCAGCAGUGGGGAAUAUUGCAAAAUGGGAGCAAGCCUGAUACAGCCAUGCCGCGUGUAUGAAGAAGGCAUUAGGGUGGUAAAGUACUUUCAGCGGGGAGGCGUUACCCGCAGAAGAAGCACCGGCUAACUCCGUGCCAGCAGCCGCGGUAAUAC